AGUAUCGGGAAGUCUGGGACCCCUCUGGGGUGACCGUGAGUCUCGGCUAUUUCCUGGGGGCUGUGGCAGACAUUCAGACCCGCGUGCCCCGGGCCAGGCAUCUGGCCAUCGCCACUGCUGUGCACCAGCAGCUCUGCGAUGAGAUGGAGCCGCCCAGCCCAGAGCACAGAGCAGAGCUGUGCCGCUGCAUGGUGCUGCAGGCCCGAAUUUGCCCGGAGGAGACCAUCGAGUUCCUCUACUACAAGCUGAGGAACGGGAGCAAGGCCGAUCGCGUGGCAGCCGUGGCAGUGCUGCAAGCUCUGGUCCGCU